AUGAACGCUAGCUACAGGCUUAACACAUGCAAGUCGAGGCGCAUCAGGAAGAAAGCUUGCUUUCUUUGCUGGCGACCGGCGCACGGGUGAGUAACACGUAUCCAACCUGCCCUUUACUCGGGGAUAGCCUUUCGAAAGAAAGAUUAAUACCCGAUAGCAUAAUGAUUCCGCAUGGUUUCAUUAUUAAAGGAUUCCGGUAAAGGAUGGGGAUGCGUUCCAUUAGGUUGUUGGUGAGGUAACGGCUCACCAAGCCUUCGAUGGAUAGGGGUUCUGAGAGGAAGGUCCCCCACAUUGGAACUGAGACACGGUCCAAACUCCUACGGGAGGCAGCAGUGAGGAAUAUUGGUCAAUGGGCGCUAGCCUGAACCAGCCAAGUAGCGUGAAGGAUGAAGGCUCUAUGGGUCGUAAACUUCUUUUAUAUAAGAAUAAAGUGCAGUAUGUAUACUGUUUUGUAUGUAUUAUAUGAAUAAGGAUCGGCUAACUCCGUGCCAGCAGCCGCGGUAAUACGGAGGAUCCGAGCGUUAUCCGGAUUUAUUGGGUUUAAAGGGAGCGUAGGUGGACUGGUAAGUCAGUUGUGAAAGUUUGCGGCUCAACCGUAAAAUUGCAGCUGAUACUGUCAGUCUUGAGUACAGUAGAGGUGGGCGGAAUUCGUGGUGUAGCGGUGAAAUGCUUAGAUAUCACGAAGAACUCCGAUUGCGAAGGCAGCUCACUGGACUGCAACUGACACUGAUGCUCGAAAGUGUGGGUAUCAAACAGGAUUAGAUACCCUGGUAGUCCACACAGUAAACGAUGAAUACUCGCUGUUUGCGAUAUACAGUAAGCGGCCAAGCGAAAGCAUUAAGUAUUCCACCUGGGGAGUACGCCGGCAACGGUGAAACUCAAAGGAAUUGACGGGGGCCCGCACAAGCGGAGGUACAUGUGGUUUAAUUCGAUGAUACGCGAGGAACCUUACCCGGGCUUAAAUUGCAGUGGAAUGAUGUGGAAACAUGUCAGUGAGCAAUCACCGCUGUGAAGGUGCUGCAUGGUUGUCGUCAGCUCGUGCCGUGAGGUGUCGGCUUAAGUGCCAUAACGAGCGCAACCCUUAUCUUUAGUUACUAACAGGUUAUGCUGAGGACUCUAGAGAGACUGCCGUCGUAAGAUGUGAGGAAGGUGGGGAUGACGUCAAAUCAGCACGGCCCUUACGUCCGGCGCUACACACGUGUUACAAUGGGGGGUACAGAAGGCAGCUAGCGGGUGACCGUAUGCUAAUCCCAAAAUCCUCUCUCAGUUCGGAUCGAAGUCUGCAACCCGACUUCGUGAAGCUGGAUUCGCUAGUAAUCGCGCAUCAGCCACGGCGCGGUGAAUACGUUCCCGGGCCUUGUACACACCGCCCGUCAAGCCAUGGGAGCCGGGGGUACCUGAAGUACGUAACCGCAAGGAUCGUCCUAGGGUAAAACUGGUGACUCGGGCUAAGUCGUAACAAGGU
rnacentral:rRNA from 1 species